rnacentral:rRNA from 1 species
GACGAACGAGGGGGGAGGGAGGACCACAGAAAAGUCGAACUGACAGGCCCAGCUUGCUGGGUACUCGAGUGGCGAACGGGUGAGUAACACGUGGGUGAUAUGGGCAUGACUUUGGGAUAAGCCUGGGAAACUGGGUCUAAUACCGGAUAUGACCUACAUCGCAUGGUGUUUGGUGGAAAGCUUUUGCGGUUGGGGAUGGGCCCGCGGCCUAUCAGCUUGUUGGUGGGGUAAUGGCCUACCAAGGCGACGAGGGGGCGCCGACCUGAGAGGGUGAUCGGCCACACUGGGACUGAGACACGGCCCAGACUCCUACGGGAGGCAGCAGUGGGGAAUAUUGCACAAUGGGCGCAAGCCUGAUGCAGCGACGCCGCGUGAGGGAACACUGACUGCGGGUUGUAAACCUCUUUCACCAGGGACGAAGCGUGAGUGACGGUACCUGGAGAAGAAGCACCGGCACCCUACGUG